rnacentral:rRNA from 1 species
UACGUAGGGCGCAAGCGUUUAUCCGGAAUUAUUGGGCGUAAAGAGCUCGUAGGCGGUUUGUCGCGUCUGCCGUGAAAGUCCGGGGCUCAACUCCGGAUCUGCGGUGGGUACGGGCAGACUAGAGGGAUGCAGGGGGAGAACGGAAUUCCUGGUGUAGCGGUGAAAUGCGCAGAUAUCAGGAGGAACACCGGUGGCGAAGGCGGUUCUCUGGGCAUUCCCUGACGCUGAGGAGCGAAAGUGUGGGGAGCGAACAGG